CAUGGAUACCAUGGAACCCGUAACACUUAGGUUCAAACAAUUUGGAGACAAGUGGAACUACUGCAUUCUCUUCAAGGAGCAGCCUCUGGAGUUCACAAUGGAGUGACGACUGACUCUAUCUUCAUCAGACUCUGUGAGGACAAUUUCUAGACAUAAUGUAGAACUUCAGCAGAUGUGGUUUGCAUCACCUCCCAAUUUCACCUACCCAGUACAUGUUUCUCUGAACCUCUGGAGAUGAGAGGAGGAGAUCAAUGAUAGCAGGGAUGUAGGCUGGGAAAAAGAAGGGAAAAAGAAAACAAAAAACCUUAAAUCUCAACUGACUGCAAAAAACAGAAAAAUUGGGCUUUAUAUCAAAUUAAUACAGUCUUGCGUAAACUGAGGUUCCACCAAUUCCAAGAAAGAAAUGCUGUGUCUACAAAUCAUAAAGUUUGGCUAGACAGAGCAAAGUAAAGCAGUGAAGGAAGACAAAUCUUUGAUUGAAAGAUGUGUUUUGCUCAAGACCAGUAGCCUAUGGCGGUAUGUUGAGAAGAUGAGAGUUUCCCAGAGAUGUACAACGCUGAAAACAAGAGGAUGAAAAAUUGAACUGACAAGGUUAUAUGGGUAGUUUGUGAUGUACAUCAUAAAAAUCUCUUCAUGCUGUAUCUCAAUUCUCAGCUAGGGAAGACAAGCACCACUGAUUCGAUGGGUUUGAUUGAUUGAAAGAGAAAUACAAAAUAAUAUUCAUAUAUUAUAACUUUUGAGGAAAUAAAACAUCAAACACAAAAGCCAUUAGA